UCGAUGGGUGAGAACUGUUAUC
rnacentral:siRNA from 1 species